rnacentral:rRNA from 1 species
AGCGGCGGACGGGUGAGUAACACGUGGGCAACCUGCCUGUAAGACUGGGAUAACUUCGGGAAACCGAAGCUAAUACCGGAUAGGAUCUUCUCCUUCAUGGGAGAUGAUUGAAAGAUGGUUUCGGCUAUCACUUACAGAUGGGCCCGCGGUGCAUUAGCUAGUUGGUGAGGUAACGGCUCACCAAGGCAACGAUGCAUAGCCGACCUGAGAGGGUGAUCGGCCACACUGGGACUGAGACACGGCCCAGACUCCUACGGGAGGCAGCAGUAGGGAAUCUUCCGCAAUGGACGAAAGUCUGACGGAGCAACGCCGCGUGAGUGAUGAAGGCUUUCGGGUCGUAAAACUCUGUUGUUAGGGAAGAACAAGUACGAGAGUAACUGCUNGUACCUUGACGGUACCUAACCAGAAAGCCACGGCUAACUACGUGCCAGCAGCCGCGGUAAUACGUAGGUGGCAAGCGUUAUCCGGAAUUAUUGGGCGUAAAGCGCGCGCAGGCGGUUUCUUAAGUCUGAUGUGAAAGCCCACGGCUCAACCGUGGAGGGUCAUUGGAAACUGGGGAACUUGAGUGCAGAAGAAAAAAGCGGAAUUCCACGUGUAGCG